UNCAAGGCGAUUCUCGGUGACUAUUCUCAAC
rnacentral:piRNA from 1 species